rnacentral:rRNA from 1 species
UACGAAGGGGGCUAGCGUUGCUCGGAAUCACUGGGCGUAAAGCGCACGUAGGCGGCUUUUUAAGUCAGGGGUGAAAUCCCGAGGCUCAACCUCGGAACUGCCUUUGAUACUGGGGAUCUCGAGUCCGGGAGAGGUGAGUGGAACUGCGAGUGUAGAGGUGAAAUUCGUAGAUAUUCGCAAGAACACCAGUGGCGAAGGCGGCUCACUGGCCCGGAACUGACGCUGAGGUGCGAAAGCGUGGGGAGCAAACAGG